AACGAACGCUGGCGGCAUGCCUAACACAUGCAAGUCGAACGAGACCUUCGGGUCUAGUGGCGCACGGGUGCGUAACGCGUGGGAACCUGCCCUUAGGUUCGGAAUAACUCCCCGAAAGGGGUGCUAAUACCGGAUAAUGUCUUCGGACCACAGAUUUAUCGCCUUUGGAUGGGCCCGCGUUGGAUUAGCUAGUUGGUAGGGUAAAAGCCUACCAAGGCGACGAUCCAUAGCUGGUCUGAGAGGAUGAUCAGCCACACUGGGACUGAGACACGGCCCAGACUCGGACGGAGGAGAGGGGUAGGGAGCGUUGGGGGAGGAGCGAUAACCUAACGCAGCAACGCCGGGGAUGACAGGAAUGGCGUAGGAAUAUUAAUCUCGCUGACCCGAGGUGAAAGUGACGGUACCUGGAGAAGAAGCUCCGGCUAACUCCGUG
rnacentral:rRNA from 1 species